rnacentral:lncRNA from 1 species
UCUUUCCAGUAGAGAAAGGAGACAUCACCAGUGGGAGUUGCUUUCAUCUAUAUUCCCAUAUGGGACUGGAGAAAAGGCUUCUCUGAAUGCAGCAGAAGGUGCAUGGUUCCCUCACACAACAAACUGCCUUCUGGAGGCCUCCAGAAGCAACAGGAUGGAAAAAAGAUUUGGAAUCACUACAAGGCUAUGGCUUCACUAAGGAAACAAUGAAGACAUUUAAGGCAAGGCAGCUGCGUGUCAAGAGUAAUAUUUGUCCCUCCGUUUUGGGAUUGUGUGUUUCAGAAAACAGCCCUGGUCUCUCCAUCUUAGGAGGGCUGUCCUGGUGGGUCUUGAGCUUGAUCUGCGGCGGCACAGCGGUCCAUGAUAAACAGGUAAUUGUGACUUGUUCUAGUGCCUUUUUGCCAAGGCUCUGGCCAAGGGGUUUAAUAACACUGUCCCAUGGCAGCUUCUGCUAGUGCCCUGCUGUGGUCCAAGUAUACUGCAAGCAGUGUGAAAAUGUGAAGGAAGGGGAAUCAGGAAGAGAGGGGUAGCUUACUCUUCUCAGGUCAUUUGUGCAAGCAAGCCAACCACUGGGAUUUUCACAGAAAACGGACACAAAAGGUG